GCCGAGCCGAGGCCCCGGAGUGCGCGGUGGCCGCUCUCGGCCCACGUGGCCUCCUGGGCCCAGUGCGCGCGUUGGGCCGUUGUCCCAGCUGGCGCAGCGACUCAGAGAAUCCAUUGGGUUGGAAAGGACCUCUGAGAUCGCCGAUUCAAAUCUGUGACCAAGCAUCAUCUAGACACAGCACUGAGUGCCACGUCUAGCCUUUCCUUAAACACUUCAGGGGAGGUUACCACUAAGUGUGAUAAUCGGAUGCUGUCCUGACAGGCUGUGUCUGCUCCUUCCAGGUGUAUACAGUCACAGGGUUGGAAGGGACCUCGAGAUCAUGUAAUCCAUCCCUUCCCGUGCCAAGGCAGGGUCACCCAGAGCAGGUUACACUGGGACAAGUCCAGCUGAGGCUAUGUCUUGAUAUUUCUGCUGUGGAGCCUGAUUUUUGUGAGAUGCUAAACUAGUAACCAGCUGAGAUCUUCAACUUCACUGGAUGUCUGGCUGUUUUAAGAGCUCACACUCACAUGAGUAACCUUUUCAAAAACAUGAAAAUGAGACACUACUCUAAGCACUCUAAUUUAAUAAAAUUAUAUACCAGUGCAUUCAAUUAAAGGUAAAAGAUAUUUUGAUAAGUAUCUUUCAUACCAUCUAGCAAAUAAGGGUACUUUAAUUUAGCUUGUACAUGGAAGGGUUUUAUGAUUUGUGUUUCAUACAAUUUUAAAUUUUAUAUGAACAAGGUGAAAACUAAAUAGAGGUGUCAGGUACUGAGUAGUUUCACCAGAUAAUUGUUGCCAGAGUGAUGUGACCUAAUUCCAUGGCAAAGCUUUAGCAACAUUUGUGUCAUCUAUGUUGCUAAAGAAAACAUUGAUCUUAAGCUCUUUAAUUCUGGAUAUUUUCUGUUGUGUCAAUUGCCACUUGCAUUGUUAUGUGCUUGGCAACCUUAGUAGGGUGAGCUGUGGUGAAUGUGGCAAAGUUGGAGGAUAAAAGCACUGGGCUGUUGAUUUCCUUCCUGAAAUCAUGGAACUUUAUGUGUCUAUCUGUGUGGAAAGAACAAAUCGAGGCCUUGGCAGAAAUUUGAAAUAUAAAUAUCACUAUACAUCUUCCCUGAGCCAGUAUAUUUGCAAAUAUUUGAAUCUAUGGCAACUUUUCAGUCUAUAGGAAAAUCAUCAAUUUCUUUGUUAAAGGGAAGUGGCUCUUUUGUUCCAGGAAGAUUAUUUAAUCACUUCAAUAUGUUUAUGCUUCUAUCUAUGAAGCUAAUUUGCAGAGGUGCCGACUUAGAUCAGUCAGGACCUAAUGGAAUCUGUUUCAAAUAAUUUCAAGUAAAUUUCUGCAAAUUUGUAUCCCAACAUUUUAUCAAUUUCAUCUUUAUCAAAGAAUGCAUGUUUAAUCUUUAUUUUUGAUUAAGUCCUUUUUUGAACUUAACAAUUAUUUGCUGCAAGACAAUCACUAAAACGUUCAGUCCCUUCAUAGAAUUUUUGUAACUAAUGACAGCAUUAAACAACCUGCCAAAUUUAAAUAUGAAAGCGGUGUUGAUUAAAAGUGGUUGUGUUGCUAAAAGGCUUGUGUUUUGUGCUUAGAUGCAGAAUAUGCUGCAUAUCUCAAAGUAAUUUUAUACCUUACUAUGUGGAUAAUGAAUUAGAGGAAUGUAAUCAGUGUUUUUUUACUAAAAGAUGGUUGGACAGAAGUUGCUCGUGUACCUUGAAAAUUAUCACUUUUUGUUGCCAGAUUCAAAACUUCAACACCUCUGAAAAAAAUAACUGGUGUCAUAUGCAGGAAUUUCUACUGCAAUUUUGUAUGUUGAGAAUGGUAAUGGAAGACUAUUCCUAUGAAUUACUUUUUUCUCAUACUAGAUUUAUAAUACUUUUAAGUUUUUUAUUUUUGACAUUGAAAAUAAAAUUAGAGCUACAUUGCUAUCCCUCAGAACUUUUCCAAAUUACAGAAUCUUACACAGUUUGGAUAUUUCUUAUAAAGUCAUAAUUAGCCUGUCUAGUAAUUUCAUCUAACAUUGCCCAUUUUUUAUUUAAGUCCAUUUCAUAGGUUGUUUGCAUUUCCAAAUGGUUUUCAGGUACAUUCUGCCAUUUGUUGCACACCUGAAACAUACCAUCAUAAGUCAUUCCUGUCAGCCACGUUGUGCAGAACAUGGUAGCUAUCCAUCUUAUGAAGCAGUGUGAAGACAAUCCAAAAUACUGAAGUAAAGUGUGUAACAGCAAUCAAACUGAUUCAGACCAUGGGUAUGCUUACUGGUCCAGAUAGUGUAAGUUAAUGCCUCAACAAGUGCAAUAAGAAGUGUAAGCACUUGUUACUUGUUUAACUUUGCCAACCUGUGGCCAUUUUCAAUGACUUUCUGAACUCUGCAUGAUUAAUCUUUUUAUCUACAUCAGAGAAUCUUUUCCAAGAACUUCACUAGUCACCCCGUAAACUCAUGUAUAAAUAUUGCAUUUGCAAAAUCUUUCAUCAAGAAAAGCCAGCUGUCUGGAAGCUAUUAUAUGAGGAAACAAGCCCUUUUGCUUUCUUGGAAGUCUAGUCCCAUUGACUUUUGUGAUUUUAAUUCUCAUGAUGCGGGGGAAAAAGGCAAAGGAGGUAUGUAUAGAUGGUGAUGUUAAAGGAUAGGCAACUUAGCCAGAUGUAGAUGCUGUAAUGUCCAAUUGCUGGCCAGGCAUGAUUCUUUUGGAUACUAUUGUAAAUAUACAGAAGACAAAACAAUUAUACCUAAGUAAGUUAGUUAAUUAGUUAUUACUUACUUCGGGUAAACAGUAGGACAUAUAACAAUCUUUCUCUUCUUUUAUCUUAUAGCCAUAAGAAGUCAUUAGCUUGUCUCUUGAGUAUUUUCUGCUUAUCCUCUUUAUGGAGUGAAUAUUCCCUCUUACUUGGUAAUCUGCAUACCUUUACUCCAGCUAUAUGUGGUACAUGUUCUACAAAUGCCUACUAAUAUUUUGGGAUUUGUAUAUGGUUAGGUGAAGUUGUCUUGGUCCACAGGGUCAGUCCCUUGGAGUUUGCAGGAACAGUAUAUGGGGUUUUUUAUGUUGACUUUUCUUCAGCUAGCAUCCUGGAAUGUCACAGAAUCACAGUCCUAAAAUAUUUUGGAUUGCAAUGGAUUUUUAUAAAGGUCAUCUAGUCCAACACCCCUGCAGUGAGCAGGGACAUCUCUUAUUAGAUCAAGUUGUUUGAAUACGUAUCCAACAUGACCUUGAAUGGUUCCAGGGGCAUUCACCAGCUCUCUAGGAAACCUUUGGCAGUAUUUACCACCCUCGCUGUAAAAUAUUUCUUCCAAAUAUCUAGUCUGUAUACCCUUCUGAAGCUUCAAACCAUUGUUCUGUAGUUACAGUCCCUACUAAAAGGUCUGUUUUAAUCUUCCUUCUAAGUCCCCUUUAAAAGUAGGGAAAGGGCGCAGUAAGGUUUCCCAAGAGCCUUCUCUUUUCCAGGCUGUUCAACCACAAAUCUCUCAGCCUUUCAUUAUAGUAGAGGUGCUCCAGCCCUAAGUCUUGUGGCCCUCGUCUGAACUUCUUCAACAGGUUCAUGUCUUUCCUGUAUCAAGGAUUCCAAAGCUGGAUGCUGUACUUCAGGUGGAGUCUCACUAGAGCAGGUAAAGGGGACAGUCACCUCCCUUGUUAAUCAUUCAGAUACAUCAGGAUUUCUCUAUCAGUCUGUACCAGAUAGUUGAGGAACUGAGACUCCUUUUUCUUUGCUGACUCAAAUGCCUGCGCAAUCUGCAUGUUUGACCUUGGAGAUGGGAACAGAUGGCCUCACUGCUUUGCUGGACAGGAGACUCGGUACACUUUAGGGUUGCCUAGGCACUCUGUUAUACUGCUAUGCUGCUCUGCAAGUCCUGGGGUUUGAUGAGGAUAACUUGUUUUCCACAUAGAAAAGACUUGAUUUUCUUAAAUUAUAUUUUGUCCUUGCUGUUGGGCCUCUCAUCAGUGGCUGAUGAGACAUCACUGGUGCACCAUCAGUUUGGUGUCUUCCUUGUACUGUGAAUUGUCUGUCUGCACAGUUUCACAAGAAGUGCACUUUCCUGGAUUCCCUGUGGGUUUCUGUGUGGCCCACUGUUAAUAAUUCCAAGACACAAGUCAUGGGCAAUAGCAUCAUUUGCAGGAAUGAGGAAGGGGCAAGAUUGCAAGAACUUGCCUAUUCUUGCAAGAACAUAAAGGCUGAUCAUAAAGAGUAUGUGUAAAACUGGUGACACCUAGCCUUUUAUGUGCAUGAAAGCAUUGCAGGUUAUGGCAUAAACUGUGCAUACUAAGAGCUUUCAUACUGAGAGCUUUCUGCUCCUACCUCUGUGCUUGCUAUACAUGGAUGGACUUAAGUGGGUGCAGCCUAGUCAGUGAGUUGAGGCUCUUGCAUCUGCAUUAGCAAAUAAAACAUGUUAUGUGAACUCAUGGAAUGCACCUUUCAUGGGUUACAUUGGAAAGUAUUUUGAAAAGCUGUGUGAAGUUUGUAUGUACGAAAAUGGCAUCAUGAAGGGAAUCAAAGCAUGAUAACUGAGUGUUAUAGAUUUGCCUUGACAGUGUUUGAGCUUUAGUAUGAGCUAACCAUAUCCAUGGAUAAUUCAGAAACCUGACAUGUUAAUCAGUAUUUUCAGUAUAAUUAGUAACUUAGAGAUAAAAAGGGAGGGUUUAUGACCUUGGAAGAAGAAGUAGGUAACUCAGGAAGAGUACAAAGAUGUCAUUAGCACAUGUAGAGAGAAAAUUAGAAAGGCAAAAGCUCAACUAGAACUCAAUCUGGCCACUGCUGUGAAAGAUAAUAAAAAGUGGUUUUAUAAAUACCUCAACAAAAGGAAGGCCAAGGAAAAUCUCCAUCCUUUAUUGGGUGUGGAAAACAUUAUCAUCAAGGAUGAGGAAAAGGCUGAGGUCCUCGAUGUUUUCUUUGCCUCAAUCUUUAACAGUAAGACUCAUCCUAAGGGUAACUAGCCUCCUAGCUGGGGUACAGGGAGAAUAGAUCUUCUGAAAUACACAGUUAAGUACUGAGCCAUUUAGACACUCAGAAUUCUAUGGGAUGGAAUUCAUUCAAGGGUACUGAGGGAGCAAGCACCAAGAAAAUCUCCACCAUUAAUCCUGGCUAACUGGGAAGGUCUCAGACCUGGAGGCUGCCCAACAUGAUGCUUACUCACAGAAAAGGUCAGAAGGAGGAUCUGGGGAACUUCAGGCUGGUAAGUCUGACCUCACUGCUGGGGCGGGUUUUGGAACAGAUUGUCUUGAUUGUAAUCACUCAGCAUAUAUAGGACAAUCAUGGGAUCAGGGCUAGCCAGCAGAGAUUUAGGAAAGGCAGGUCCUACUUGGUCAACACAAUCCCCUUUUAAGACCAGGUGACCUGCCUAAAGGAUGAUGGAAGAGCUGUUGGUAUUGUCUACCUGAACUUUAGCAAAGCUUUCAAUAUUGUUGCCCAUAGCAUUUUUCUGUAAAAGCUGGCAUCCCAUGUCUUGUACUGGUACACAAUUUAUUGGGUUAAAAUCUGGCCGGGUGGCCAGGCCCAGAGAGUGGUGGUGCAAGGAGUUACAUCCAGCUGGUGGCCAGUGGCCAGUGGCGUUCCCCAGGGCUCAGUACUAGAGCCACUGCAUAGUAUCUUCAUCGGUGACUAGUACAAGGGUGUCAAGUGUACCCUUGCUAAGUUUGUGGACAGCACCAAGUUGAGUGGGAAUGUUGAUCUGGUGGAGAGUGGGAAGAUUUUUCAGAGCAAUCUGGACAGGCUGGAUCAGGGGCCAAGGUUCCCAGGUCCUGCCCUGGGGUCACAGCAACCCCAGGCAGUGGCACAGGCUGGGGCAGAGUGGCUGCAAAGCUGCCACAGGAAAAGGAGCUGGGGGUGCUGCUGACAGCAGCUGAACAUGAGCCAGCAGGGCCCAGGUGGCCAAGAAGGCCAAUGGCAUCCUGGCCUGGACCAGCAAUGGUGUGGCCAGCAGGAGCAGGGCAGGGAUUGUUCCCUGUACUCAGCACUGGGGAGGCUGCACCUCAAAUCCUGCGGUCAGUUUUGAGCCACUCACUCCAAGAAAGACAUUGAGGUUGCUGGAGCAUGUCCAGAGAAGGGCAGUAGAGCUGGGGAAGUGUCUGGAGCACAGGUCCUAUAAGGAGCAACUGAUGGAGCUUGGGUUGUUUUGGAUGGAGAAAAGGAGGCUCAAGGGAGACCUGAUCACUCUACAACUGCCUGAAAGGAGGGUAUAGCAAGGUGGGGUUGGCCUAUUCUCCCAGGCAACAAGUGACUGGACAAGAGGAAUGGCCUCAAACUGUGCCAGGAGAGGUUCAAGUUGGACAUCAGGAGGACUUCCUUUACUGAAAGGGUUGUUAAGCAUUGGAAUGGCUGCCCAGGGACUUGGUGAAGUCACCAUUACUGGAGGAUUUCAAGAAAUUUCUGGAUGUGGCGCUAAUUUCUAUGGUUGACUUGACGAGGUGGUGAUGGGUCAAAGGUUGGACUCAAUGAUCUUAGAAAUCUUUUCCAUUCUAAUGAUUCUGUACUCAUGUGAUUUAAAGUUGCUUAGAGUUUGGAUGCACUGUGUUUUUAAUAAACAGGUAUCAUACAAAGAAGUGUCAGUAAUUAUUUUUAAAAUUAUAUUGAGAUAUGUUCCUAGAGCACUUCUGCCUGUUAUAAUGAGUAAAAAUAACCCAGGUGCAGCACAAGACAUUUGUUGUUUUUCAGUAUCUGAUAUUAAAAAUGUGAAAUACUUUUAGUAGUAAUAUAUUAUGCCACAUUGUAUCUGAAAUAAAGAAAUACAGAUUUGUUUGGUUGCCACACAAAGUCUGAGAUUAUAUAAGCCACUGAGAAGCUGUAUUUCUUUUCAGAAAAUUACAAAAAAUUUCAUCCCUAAUCCUGAAAUAAAUUCUUUUUAUUAUAGAAUUCAGAGUUCUCAGUUGUUUAACCAGAGUUGGGAUAGUCAUUUAAACAAUUGCUGCAAAAGUAAUUUUGCUCCACAUUUUUAAUGUCAGGGAAUG